rnacentral:rRNA from 1 species
CACGUAGGCGGACUUCUAAGUCAGAUGUGAAAUCCCGGGGCUCAACCUCGGAACUGCAUUUGAAACUGGGAGUCUGGAGUUCAGGAGAGGUUAGCGGAAUACCGAGUGUAGAGGUGAAAUUCGUAGAUAUUCGGUGGAACACCAGUGGCGAAGGCGGCUAACUGGACUGAUACUGACGCUGAGGUGCGAAAGUGUGGGGAGCAAACA